rnacentral:rRNA from 1 species
GGUUUAGCGGCGGACGGGUGAGUAACACGUGGGCAACCUGCCCUGCAGAUCGGGAUAACUCCGGGAAACCGGUGCUAAUACCGAAUAGUUUGCGGCCUCUCAUGAGGCUGCACGGAAAGACGGUUUCGGCUGUCACUGCAGGAUGGGCCCGCGGCGCAUUAGCUAGUUGGUGAGGUAACGGCUCACCAAGGCCACGAUGCGUAGCCGACCUGAGAGGGUGAUCGGCCACACUGGGACUGAGACACGGCCCAGACUCCUACGGGCGGCAGCAGUAGGGAAUCUUCCGCAAUGGACGAAAGUCUGACGGAGCAACGCCGCGUGAGUGAAGAAGGUUUUCGGAUCGUAAAACUCUGUUGUGAGGGAAGAACAAGUACCAAGUAACUACUGGUACCUUGACGGUACCUCACCAGAAAGCCACGGCUAACUACGUGCCAGCAGCCGCGGUAAUACGUAGGUGGCAAGCGUUGUCCGGAAUUAUUGGGCGUAAAGCGCGCGCAGGCGGUCCUUUAAGUCUGAUGUGAAAGCCCACGGCUCAACCGUGGA